GGCGGCUACAGUGAGGGGGGCUGCGGCCUGCAGGGCCGGGGGCUGGCGUCAUGUUCCUCGCUGCUCCUAUUCGCGCCGCUGCCGCGCAGUCGGUAAGGAAACCCGCGGCCGAGGCGCCGCUCCCCCCCCCCCCCCCUUCCAAGGCGCCGCGGCGAGAGACGGCGUCCCUGGUAGAGACGGGUCUGAGGCAGCAGGUGAGACAGAUCCGCUACUUGCAUAAAACAGCUGUGCGCAGUGGAGGUGGAGGAGCCUUGUUUCUGCACAGAGAUACUCCUGAAAAUAACCCAGAUACUCCAUUUGAUUUCACACCUGAAAACUAUAAGAGAAUAGAAGCGAUAGUAAACAACUACCCAGAGGGACAUAGAUCAGCUGCUGUGAUUCCAGUACUAGAUCUGGCCCAGAGACAGAAUGGAUGGUUGCCCAUAUCAGCAAUGAACAAGGUUGCUGAAGUUUUACAGAUGCCUCCCAUGAGAGUAUAUGAAGUAGCAACUUUCUAUACAAUGUAUAAUCGGAAGCCUGUUGGAAAAUAUCAUAUUCAGAUCUGCACAACUACACCUUGCAUGCUGAGAGACUCUGAUGGCAUACUAGAGGCCAUUCAGAAGAAGCUUGGUAUACAAGUUGGAGAAACAACACCUGAUAAACUUUUCACACUGGUAGAAGUUGAAUGUUUAGGCGCUUGCGUAAAUGCACCGAUGGUGCAAAUAAAUGAUAAUUAUUAUGAAGAUCUGACAUCAAAAGAUAUUGAAGACAUAAUUGAUGAACUAAAGGCUGGCAGAGUUCCCAAACCUGGGCCAAGGAAGAUAUAUGAAUGGGGGAGCUAAUUGAUGCUGAACAAUAUCAUGAUGUAUAAUCACUUGAACAUGCGUUCCCGUGCAGUGUUGUGGCCAAAAGGCUAAUACAAUCCUUGUUGGAUGCAUAAACGGGAAUCUCAAAUUAAAGUGGACGCUUUUCUUGUGAGCCAGCUGGUGGUCUUACUUCUCUGACUGAACCACCCAAAGGACCUGGAUUUGGAGUUCGAGCAGACCUCUAAGCAUUUAUAUAAUAAAUUAUAAAAACAUAUUUUGUCUGAAAAUAAAAUACCGUUAACCUCAUUAAAA